UACAGAGGUCCCAAGCGUUGUUCGGAUUCAUUGGGCGUAAAGGGUGCGUAGGCGGCGCGGUAAGUCGGGUGUGAAAUCUCGGGGCUUAACUCCGAAACUGCAUUCGAUACUGCCGUGCUUGAGGACUGGAGAGGAGACUGGAAUUUACGGUGUAGCGGUGAAAUGCGCAGAUAUCGGGAAGAACACCCGUGGCGAAGGCGGUUCUCUGGGACGGUACUGACGCUGAGACGCGAAAGCGUGGGGAGCGAACAGG
rnacentral:rRNA from 1 species